UUGUGAUUUACUUGAAUAUUCACUUCUCGAAAGUAAGCUUCUAUUCUACAUAUGUGGCAAUGGAAAAUUAUCCUUUCUUUGUUGUGUUGCUUUUAACUGCAAUAACAGGUGGGUCGACGGACGUUAUUCCUCCAGGAGAAUGUAGAGAAUGUUCAGACGGUUCUGGUUGUGCUUAUAGACUAGCGUUUUGUAAUGGAUAUAAUACUUGUUCAAAUGGCGAAGAUGAAAACGAGGAUUUAU